UCAAGUGAAGAAGCGCAUACGGUGGAUGCCUUGGCAGUCAGAGGCGAUGAAAGACGUGGUAGCCUGCGAAAAGCUUCGGGAGUCGGCAAACAGACUUUGAUCCGGAGAUCUCUGAAUGGGGGAACCCACCUAGGAUAACCUAGGUAUCUUGUACUGAAUCCAUAGGUGCAAGAGGCGAACCAGGGGAACUGAAACAUCUAAGUACCCUGAGGAAAAGAAAUCAACCGAGAUUCCCUUAGUAGUGGCGAGCGAACGGGGAUUAGCCCUUAAGCUUCAUUGAUUUUAGCGGAACGCUCUGGAAAGUGCGGCCAUAGUGGGUGAUAGCCCCGUACGCGAAAGGAUCUUUGAAGUGAAAUCGAGUAGGACGGAGCACGAGAAACUUUGUCUGAACAUGGGGGGACCAUCCUCCAAGGCUAAAUACUACUGACUGACCGAUAGUGAACCAGUACCGUGAGGGAAAGGCGAAAAGAACCCCGGAGAGGGGAGUGAAAUAGAACCUGAAACCGUAUGCGUACAAGCAGUGGAGCCUACUUGUUAGGUGACUGCGUACCUUUUGUAUAAUGGGUCAGCGACUUAUAUUCAGUGGCAAGCUUAACCGUAUAGGGUAGGCGUAGCGAAAGCGAGUCUUAAUAGGGCGUUUAGUCGCUGGGUAUAGACCCGAAACCGGGCGAUCUAUCCAUGAGCAGGUUGAAGGUUAGGUAACACUGACUGGAGGACCGAACCCACUCCCGUUGAAAAGGUAGGGGAUGACUUGUGGAUCGGAGUGAAAGGCUAAUCAAGCUCGGAGAUAGCUGGUUCUCCUCGAAAGCUAUUUAGGUAGCGCCUCAUGUAUCACUCUGGGGGGUAGAGCACUGUUUCGGCUAGGGGGUCAUCCCGACUUACCAAACCGAUGCAAACUCCGAAUACCCAGAAGUGCCGAGCAUGGGAGACACACGGCGGGUGCUAACGUCCGUCGUGAAAAGGGAAACAACCCAGACCGCCAGCUAAGGUCCCAAAGUUGUGGUUAAGUGGUAAACGAUGUGGGAAGGCUUAGACAGCUAGGAGGUUGGCUUAGAAGCAGCCAUCCUUUAAAGAAAGCGUAAUAGCUCACUAGUCGAGUCGGCCUGCGCGGAAGAUGUAACGGGGCUCAAACCACACACCGAAGCUGCGGGUGUCACGUAAGUGACGCGGUAGAGGAGCGUUCUGUAAGCCUGUGAAGGUGAGUUGAGAAGCUUGCUGGAGGUAUCAGAAGUGCGAAUGCUGACAUGAGUAACGACAAUGGGUGUGAAAAACACCCACGCCGAAAGACCAAGGGUUCCUGCGCAACGUUAAUCGACGCAGGGUUAGUCGGUUCCUAAGGCGAGGCUGAAAAGCGUAGUCGAUGGGAAACAGGUUAAUAUUCCUGUACUUCUGGUUACUGCGAUGGAGGGACGGAGAAGGCUAGGCCAGCUUGGCGUUGGUUGUCCAAGUUUAAGGUGGUAGGCUGAAAUCUUAGGUAAAUCCGGGGUUUCAAGGCCGAGAGCUGAUGACGAGUCGUCUUUUAGAUGACGAAGUGGUUGAUGCCAUGCUUCCAAGAAAAGCUUCUAAGCUUCAGGUAACCAGGAACCGUACCCCAAACCGACACAGGUGGUCGGGUAGAGAAUACCAAGGCGCUUGAGAGAACUCGGGUGAAGGAACUAGGCAAAAUGGCACCGUAACUUCGGGAGAAGGUGCGCCGGCUAGGGUGAAGGAUUUACUCCGUAAGCUCUGGCUGGUCGAAGAUACCAGGCCGCUGCGACUGUUUAUUAAAAACACAGCACUCUGCAAACACGAAAGUGGACGUAUAGGGUGUGACGCCUGCCCGGUGCCGGAAGGUUAAUUGAUGGGGUUAGCGCAAGCGAAGCUCUUGAUCGAAGCCCCGGUAAACGGCGGCCGUAACUAUAACGGUCCUAAGGUAGCGAAAUUCCUUGUCGGGUAAGUUCCGACCUGCACGAAUGGCGUAACGAUGGCGGCGCUGUCUCCACCCGAGACUCAGUGAAAUUGAAAUCGCUGUGAAGAUGCAGUGUAUCCGCGGCUAGACGGAAAGACCCCGUGAACCUUUACUGUAGCUUUGCACUGGACUUUGAGCCUGCUUGUGUAGGAUAGGUGGGAGGCUUUGAAGCGUGGACGCCAGUUCGCGUGGAGCCAUCCUUGAAAUACCACCCUGGCAUGCUUGAGGUUCUAACUCUGGUCCGUGAUCCGGAUCGAGGACAGUGUAUGGUGGGCAGUUUGACUGGGGCGGUCUCCUCCUAAAGAGUAACGGAGGAGUACGAAGGUGCGCUCAGACCGGUCGGAAAUCGGUCGCAGAGUAUAAAGGCAAAAGCGCGCUUGACUGCGAGACAGACACGUCGAGCAGGUACGAAAGUAGGUCUUAGUGAUCCGGUGGUUCUGUAUGGAAGGGCCAUCGCUCAACGGAUAAAAGGUACUCCGGGGAUAACAGGCUGAUACCGCCCAAGAGUUCAUAUCGACGGCGGUGUUUGGCACCUCGAUGUCGGCUCAUCACAUCCUGGGGCUGAAGCCGGUCCCAAGGGUAUGGCUGUUCGCCAUUUAAAGUGGUACGCGAGCUGGGUUUAGAACGUCGUGAGACAGUUCGGUCCCUAUCUGCCGUGGACGUUUGAGAUUUGAGAGGGGCUGCUCCUAGUACGAGAGGACCGGAGUGGACGAACCUCUGGUGUUCCGGUUGUCACGCCAGUGGCAUUGCCGGGUAGCUAUGUUCGGAAAAGAUAACCGCUGAAAGCAUCUAAGCGGGAAACUUGCCUCAAGAUGAGAUCUCACUGGGAACUUGAUUCCCCUGAAGGGCCGUCGAAGACUACGACGUUGAUAGGCUGGGUGUGUAAGCGUUGUGAGGCGUUGAGCUAACCAGUACUAAUUGCCCGUGAGGCUUGACCAU
rnacentral:rRNA from 1 species